rnacentral:rRNA from 1 species
AUUGCCUCAGUAACGGCGAGUGAAGCGGCAACAGCUCAAAUUUGAAAUCUGGCCCCAGGCCCGAGUUGUAAUUUGCAGAGGAUGCUUUUGGCGCGGUGCCUUCCGAGUUCCCUGGAACGGGACGCCAUAGAGGGUGAGAGCCCCGUCUGGUUGGACACCAAGCCUCUGUAAAGCUCCUUCGACGAGUCGAGUAGUUUGGGAAUGCUGCUCAAAAUGGGAGGUAUAUGUCUUCUAAAGCUAAAUACCGGCCAGAGACCGAUAGCGCACAAGUAGAGUGAUCGAAAGAUGAAAAGCACUUUGAAAAGAGAGUUAAAUAGCACGUGAAAUUGUUAAAAGGGAAGCGUUUAUGACCAGACUUGGGCCGGUUAAUCAUCCAGCGUUCUCGCUGGUGCACUUUGCCGGUCCAGGCCAGCAUCAGUUCGUCGCGGGGGAUAAAGGCGUCGGGAAUGUGGCUCCUCGGAGUGUUAUAGCCCUUCGCGCAAUACCCUGCGGUGGACUGAGGUUCGCGCUCUGCAAGGAUGCUGGCGUAAUGGUCAUCAACGACCCGUCUUGAAACACGGACCAAGGAGUCGUCUUCGUAUGCGAGUGUUCGGGUGUAAAACCCCUACGCGUAAUGAAAGUGAACGCAGGUGAGAGCUUCGGCGCAUCAUCGACCGAUCCUGAUGUUCUCGGAUGGAUUUGAGUAAGAGCAUACGGGGCCGGACCCGAAAGAAGGUGAACUAUGCCUGUAUAGGGUGAAGCCAGAGGAAACUCUGGUGGAGGCUCGCAGCGGUUCUGACGUGCAAAUCGAUCGUCAAAUAUGGGCAUGGGGGCGAAAGACUAA